rnacentral:lncRNA from 1 species
GAUCCAUGACAUUUGGUAAUUGGUGUUUGAGGAACUCUUUUUUCCAUGCUUGCCUCUACCUUGUAUUUGGAGUUUUUGGAUAAAAAAGAUGAUCACCCAAAUUUGAUGAUGGAUUCAUUGGUUAUUGCUCCCCUAAAUAUCUUGUGAAAUUAACAUGAACCAUGAUCUUUUUAAAGGACAUGAUAUAUCUUUUGGCAUUUUAUUUAACUUGAUUUGCACAUUUUUUGUCAUUAGUUGUU